rnacentral:rRNA from 1 species
GAUGAACGCUGGCGGCGUGCUUAACACAUGCAAGUCGAACGAGAAGUGAAGACGGAAACCUUCGGGCGGAAGGCUUUAUUUCGAGUGGCGGACGGGUGAGUAACGCGUGGGUAACCUGCCUCAUACAGGGGGAUAACAGUUGGAAACGACUGUUAAUACCGCAUAAGACCACAGCACCGCAUGGUGCGGGGGUAAAAACUCCGGUGGUAUGAGAUGGACCCGCGUUCGAUUAGCCAGUUGGCGGGGUAACGGCUCACCAAAGCGACGAUCGAUAGCCGAUCUGAGAGGAUGACCGGCCACAUUGGGACUGAGACACGGCCCAAACUCCUACGGGAGGCAGCAGUGGGGAAUAUUGCACAAUGGGGGAAACCCUGAUGCAGCGACGCCGCGUGAGUGAAGAAGUAUUUCGGUAUGUAAAGCUCUAUCAGCAGGGAAGAAAAUGACGGUACCUGAGUAAGAAGCCCCGGCUAACUACGUG